UGGGGAAUAUUGCGCAAUGGGCGAAAGCCUGACGCAGCAACGCCGCGUGAGUGAUGAAGGCCUUCGGGUCGUAAAGCUCUGUCGGAGGGAACGAAUGCUCCUGAAGUUAACAGCCUCAGGAGGUGACGGUACCCUCAAAGGAAGCACCGGCUAACUCUGUGCCAGCAGCCGCGGUAAUACAGAGGGUGCAAGCGUUGUUCGGAAUCAUUGGGCGUAAAGGGCGUGUAGGCGGUAUGUUAAGUCAUGUGUGAAAUCCCUCGGCUCAACCGGGGAACGACGCAUGAAACUGGCAAGCUAGAGUACCAAAGAGGGUGGUGGAAUUCCCGGUGUAGCGGUGAAGUGCGUUGAUAUCGAUAGGAACUCCGGUGGCGAAGGCGGCAUACUGGACCACUUCUGACGCUGAGGCGCGAAAGCCAGGGGAGCAAACGGGAUUAGAUACCCCCGUAGUCCCUGAGCGGGCUGGCAAGGCGCAU
rnacentral:rRNA from 1 species